rnacentral:rRNA from 1 species
AUUGAACGCUGGCGGCAUGCCUUACACAUGCAAGUCGAACGGCAGCACGGGUGCUUGCACCUGGUGGCGAGUGGCGAACGGGUGAGUAAUACAUCGGAACGUACCUUAUCAUGGGGGAUAACGCAGCGAAAGCUGCGCUAAUACCGCAUACGCCCUGAGGGGGAAAGCGGGGGAUCGAAAGACCUCGCGCGAUUAGAGCGGCCGAUGCCUGAUUAGCUUGUUGGUGGGGUAAAAGCCCACCAAGGCGACGAUCAGUAGCUGAUCUGAGAGGACGAUCAGCCACACUGGGACUGAGACACGGCCCAGACUCCUACGGGAGGCAGCAGUGGGGAAUUUUGGACAAUGGGGGCAACCCUGAUCCAGCAAUGCCGCGUGAGUGAAGAAGGCCUUCGGGUUGUAAAGCUCUUUUGUCAGGGAAGAAACACCGGCUCUAACACAGUCCGGGAAUGACGGUACCUGAAGAAUAAGCACCGGCUAACUACGUGCCAGCCGCCGCGGUAA